rnacentral:tRNA from 1 species
CAGAAAGUAGUUUAAUAAAAAUACGAGUUUUGGAGACUUGAGUUGUAAGUUUUUAUCUUUCUGA